UUUUCGUCCUUCCCAGCCGCAUCGUCCAGUACGUGUGACGGGCUCAUCGGCUUUCGCCCCGCCUUGUUUCACUCCACCUCCGAAGUCCCAACCUUAGGGGAAAAAGGAUGGGAUAGAUUCCCGGGGGCGGUAAGGGCAACGGCAGCGGCAACGAAGACCUGUUUCAAGAAGAACCGGAGUCACCUUGGGGGCAACGGUGGUGCCAGAAAUAUGCGUCAUCACCGAAUAUUCC
rnacentral:lncRNA from 1 species